CCCCAGGGUGUAGAGGUUCCUCUGGACCCUGCUCCUCUUUUGUUUCUCUUCCUCUCUGAGGAGAAAAGCUCCUGGUCCCCCUCAUCCCUUGCUGAGCACUUUGAGGAGGAGCAGAACCAAGAAACAGGACUCGCAGAGGCCUCAGACCUCCCCUACUCAAAGUUCAGGGACUCGGAGCCUGGGAGGCUGGGGUGGGAGGGAGGAAGGAGGUGGCGCUGGCCGCUAAAUUUGUUCAUCCUGACUGUCAGUCCCUUAAUCUGAUCCCCGAGGAACAACGCAGAGGCUUCACUCUGGAUGACAAACGAGGAGGGGAGAGGCCUGCCCUGCCUGGACUCUGGGUCUUUUCUGAAUGGACCUGACCAUUUCGAAGAACAGAAUGGCAAUUUCACAUGGCGCAACCGGAGAGGUGAACCGCCCAGCCCAGAGCCGGCCUGCAGCGGCACUCACCCCAGCAGCUGUCGUAGCGGAGCGAGCCUGCGUCCUCUAUAAACCCAGGUGACCUCACGCCUCUUCGUUUCUGUUUUCCUGGAAAUUUUUACAAAAUUCCUUUGAACUCUCCAACUUCUCUCACUAAAUGAAAAUAAGUUGGGGUCUCUGAUUAAAACAGAAAAGCAGAUUCUCCCCCCCUCCCCGCCCCCCAGGGAUGCCAGUGGCCAAGGUAGAGGGGUGGCCCCACAGGAGAAGGGAGGACUGGCCUGGGAGGAGGGGAGUGGUGGGGAUGACCCCCUUCCCCUCCCAAGCCCUUCAGAAGAGGCUGACGGGAAAGGGUGGUGAGAAGGGGUGGAGCCCGAGGAGAUUGUGGGGUGUGUACAAAAUGUUGCGUUCUGAAAGGGGGGGCGUGGGAGUGGACUGGAUGCACCCACGCUCUGUGGCUCCUGCCCAGAAUAUUAGGUGAAAAGUGAGGUGGGAGGCCAGGGGUCUCGCCAACCUCAGAGAGCCCCACGUGCAGGUUCUAGGACAUUCCCAUUCUCAGAGACCCAUUCAGCCUGCGGGGGGGGCAGCCCCUGCCUCAGCAACCCCCGCCCCAGGCAGCAGCCUUGCCUCUCCCUCUUAAAGUCAAGUUCAGCCCAGAGGGAGGGGGAAGGUCACAGCAGCAAGUAAAGCUGACAAGCUGAAGGAAGCAGGCAAUCCAUGAGGAAGGCCCCACAGGGCCAGGGAGCCCCCUACACAGACACCCUCUGAGCGAAAGGCCACACACAGCCUGGGGAGCCCCCCCCCCCCCUCCACGGCCCUGUAUUCCAUUCUCUCUUGUCCUCUGGGCUCCCACAUCUCCCGUGCUGCCCUGCGGGAUCAGGCCUCUCUGCCCUCGCUGUGUCCAUGCAGGGAAAUAGCAUCCUAUCAAUUCCGGCACAUUCAUCAAGCGCUGAUCUAGAGCAAUGACGAUAACUCCUGCCAGCCCUUUGCAGGAAGCCUGACAGGUGUUCUUUAAUUCUCCCAGAGAGAUGGCUGUUAUCAUCCUAUUUCACAGAUUGAGAACUUGAGGUUGAGAGAGGAUGAUGAGUAUUAGUUUCCUGGAGCUGCCGUCACUGGCUUCAAACAACAGAAAUUUGUUCUCUCACAGUCCUGGAGGCUAGACGUCCAAAAUCAAGGUGCUGGCAGGAGGCACCUGGGUGGCUCGGUUGGUUAAGCAUCUGACUCUUGGCUUCGACUCAGGUCACGAUCUCAUGGUUGUGGGAUGGAGCCAUGUGUUGGGCUCCGGGCACCACGCUGGGCUUGGAGCCUGCUUGAGAUUCUCUCUCCCCCUCUCUCUCUGCCCCUCCCCUGCUCAUGCCCGUUCUCUCUCUCUUCAGAAUCUGCAUCAGAAUCUGGCUCGUGGCACUUUUGUGCCUAGCAGGCCACUUUGGAUCAUGGCUGUGGGUCCCGCUAGUCUGUCCAGAGACACUGCCCCCGAAGGUGGCCUGCUCGGCUGUCAGCUGAAUCUCCUUCCUGCCCUUUUGCCCACUCCCCCGGCAGGGGCCAGGAGAUCAGGAGGGUUUGGGGUGGAGGGAGGGGUGAGCACAUCAUGGCAGAAGGGGCCUGAGGAGGGAUGAAGAGGAAGGUCAUCCCCAGAGGACAAGUAUAGAGACCUAGAGCGGCAAGUGUCCGGGUCUCUCCUUCCCGUUUCCAGAGGCCCAGGAUCCCCCCACCAUCCUCAGAACACAAAAGCAGCCUCUGUGCCGGUGAGAAAGCUACAGGGCUGGAGCUUCCUCACAUGGACCUGCUGGACUUUUCCAGAAAUAUCAACAAAAGGUCCAAGUUUCUUUCCAUCCCUCUUUUGAAGCAGGAGCUUGGGGCUGAAGCGUUGCCAGCACCUGUGGGAGGGGUCGAGGUGGGCGGCUGUGACCACGGGGGUGUGGGUGGAGAAACCGGGGGCUGUGGAUGCCACUAAAAGUCCCUCCAGGCCCUCCUUCACCCUGGACAGUCAUCCUGCCCCUCCCACUCCCCAAAACAUGGCAGCAAAGAGGAAGGGAUGUGGGAAGAGCAGAAGGGGGAAGUCCCCAGCUCUGCCGGGUCCCAAGAUCACCAACCGAGAGAGAUGCUGGUGCCAUCCAGCCCCCAGAAGAUGUCACUUGUCUCUCCCAGCUACGCUCCAGAGAGAAGGACAGCACUGCACAGACUGGACAUAGGUGUGCAAGGAGGGGGCCCGAGCCCCUGCACAGGAGGAGCCGAUGGGGGAACAGGAGACGCCAGGACUGCUUGGGACAGGCUGAGGUUCAUGUGCAGGAGGCAGGUGAUUUGACGCUGGAGCCGGGAGAGGGGCCAGUACUGACCAUCCAUUUCUUCAGUUGUUUAACAAACACAGUGUGUCAGGCUCUGUUCUAGGUGCUGGGGACACCACAGGGACGGGGCGCAAAGCCCUGCCACCCUGCAGCAGACAGACGACAAAUAACCAAGCUCACAAUUGCAGAGGGCUCUAACCAGAUUGUUGGGGAAUCUCGCCUGGCUGGGAAAUAGACGUGAAAUUGUUUCAUUCUUCCAGGCACAGCCCUGGCUGUGCUGGCAGAGGCUGCUUUCCGGCUGGAAGCGGCAGCUCCCUGGCCAACACCUGGCCAGAUUCUGAGCCUUCUCCACCUGCCAGGUUAGAAUCUUCUCCUUCUGGGCAUUGCCCGGUGAAACCCCAGUUUCUCGCUUGAUGCAAACCUCUUCUCUCCUCCCUGUGCUCAGGUGGACCUUCAGAAGCUCUAUGCCGAUGAGCUGGUGGGUGGAGGGCUCCCCUGGCCCUCAGUUCUCCACUGUUGGGUAGGGAGAGAGAGAAAGAGGAAUCUGCUCCCGAUGUUCCUGGGCCAGGGAGCCCCAGAACCAUGGCUCCUUUUCUGUGAACAGUACCAGGGGUCCAACUUGCUCACCAACGGAGUGUUCACUUGGGGCACUCCCCGUGCUCAGCAAGGCCCCACACUUGGUUUAACAUGCUGCUGCCAUGUCUCGAAAUUCUCAACAAUUGUGGAGCAAGGGGCCCUGCAUUUGCAUUUUUCACCCAGACCGUUACAACGUACAUAGCCGGUCCUGCCUGCCAGACAUGCGUGUUACAGCUGCGUCCAGCUGGCCACAUCACUCCACACUGCGCUCCGCCCCCAACGCUACAACAGUCCCCAAAAGCCUGAAGCCGCAGACUCAUCCACUCUCCAGGCCGGCUCUCCGGGCUGUGGGCACAAGUGAGAUUGCCCUCUGUACGUGAGGGACCAGGAACCUCAGGGUGUGGGUAUCAGCCUCUCCUCACUAGGCAGCCCCCACCCCACCAUCCUCAGGAGCCCCCCGGGCCGGACGGCGGGUCCUCUGGCUAAGCUGAACUCCAAUGGGACACUGAAAUGCCAGCCUCUCCCUCCUGCCGGCUCCCUUGAUUCCUGAACAAAGGAUUCCUUCAUCCUUCCGGGGUCCCUGCCCUUCCUUCCAGCUCUGCUGCAGAUGUGAGGGAAGAUGCUCUCUCCCUCAAAUCUGUGCAGUCCCCAAGGCUCUCCCCCACCAGCCCCCACCUCUUCUGCUCUGCACGUGGGCGAGGGCCUUUGGGGAGGAUGUGGGUCUGACAGGGCCCGGCCGUGAGCCCUGCAGUGACAAGGAAGUCUGGGAGGGUCUGCCACUCGACUAGCCUGUGGGAGACCCAGCCCCUUGGGACAGGCAAGUCCCCACCAGACAGCCGGCAACAGAGCAGCAACUGCUCUGAAGAAGGUGCCAGAGGGGAUGUGGCAGAGAAGAGGACACGCUGUCGGGAUGGUGGCCAUUCCAGUGGAAGAGGCCAAGGACAACCAGGAGGACCAGUCAUCAGUAAUAAAAAAAAGCUGCACGAAA